GGCAGAGAGAAGAGGGGGGAAGAGCUCAGGGUUGAACAUUUUUGGAGCUAGGGGUGGGGAGGAGAAAGAGAGCGCGCCUCCUUGAUUUUCCCCUCCCCACCCCUCUUUGCUUUUCUCUCCCGUUCGCUGUAUAGCAUUUUCCAGAAGCAGCAGCAGAAUGGGACUGAAGCCUCUGGUCUAGAAAACGGAUUUGGAGGGGUGGCAGGGGCUCCCACCAGCCGCUACCUUACAGCUAGUGCUUGAGUGUGCGUGUCAGCGUGUGAAUGCGGUCCUCUCGCUCCCUCUCUUUCUCUCUCCCCGGCGCCCGCUUCACACCACCGUGUCAGCUCUCCCUGUCAGUUUCCCCGUGUCAGUUUAUUCUCUUGCUUAUUGUGUUUGGCUGGCUGCGUGAAGGGACUGCGAGCAUUUGGGGGGCUCACGCUGGGUCCGAGAGCCCCAGGAGAAGCGAGCGAGAACACGGCAGGGGCACGGGUGGAGCAAAGAGUUUCGGGGCGCUGGUGAAGGCAAAAGGUGAGAAGGUCUGGCCAGUUGGGAACUUUGAGAUAACUGAAGAGGGGAAAAGGAAACGAAGGUAGGAAGCAGUACUUGUGCUCCUCUCUGCGUCCCGCCCCUUUUUUUCCCUAUUCUCACCCGCCCACCCACUCGGCAGCCUCCAGGCCCCCGGCUGUCCCAGGCGGCUGCUGUUUUUGCGCCACGGAAGACCAGUCCAGGAAGGCUGCCGCGGCACCUCGCGCCCUAGUCCACCGAUCCCAGACUACACAGAUCCGAGGAAACCACUUGGCCCGGGGUAAGUUGACAGGCGGCUUGGAGUCGUCCGCUUUGCUACCCUUGGGGCGGUGAGGAGCGGGUUUAAUGAAGGUGCUGGGUUGAUGUAAACUGGGAGGCGCUGGCUGGCUGACUGGCUGUGAGCUCCAGGUGGUGGGGAGCAAGGAGAGGCCAGCAACAGAUUGUUUUGGGACACGGGCAAAAGAAAUACAACCAGGGAGAGGGCGUUAAGGGUUCUAGGACCAAAUGUUGAUGGCAAUGAUUAAAAGCAUCCUUCUCACUGCUACUGUUCUCCUAAACCAGAGCUUUGCCAUACCACUGCAUGGAUAGUGAUUUGUUCCAUCCUUGGGUAGAUAUUAAGCUCCCCCGAACCUGCUCCCAGGUUUCCUCAAAAUGGGCAAGGGAUGGGUUAGGAAAAAGGAUACUUGUUCUUCAACAAUAUCAAUCUUCAGCUGUAAAGAGCCAGGGUUCAUGAGGGCUCAGGGACCAGAGCCCCUCAUUUAGCUUCUUUCUGUUUUUGCAUCUUUCAAACUUAAGAAAGGGCCAGAUUCGUUUGCCUGGCUUCCUUAAAGAAACCAGGAAAUGCAAAUGGGCAGGGGCAAUCACUGUAGUCCAAAGUGGACAGCUCCCAAACCUCCCCCACAUGCUUUGACUUGGACAAAUAGCUAUGAUCAUGUCCCACAUAGGCAAGUCCUGAGCUGAAUUCCCAGAUCCUGAUCUUUCUUCAUGGUUUCUGAAAAUGAGCCUGGGAGAAGGUGUUUUUUUGUUUGUUUUUUUUUUCCCCGUUACCAACCUGGCCUAUUUGGGCCAUAGUUAUGCGUGGUGAUAGCCAAGUGUUUAGCAAGGUUAUCACUCCCUUAUGAAAAGCCUGGCGCUGGGAAACCAGCCCAGAAGACAGAUUCUCUGAACUUUACCCGAGUUUAUUAUAUAAGUGGGAGAGACACAUACUAAUCAAUAAUUCUCCCCUUAGAGACUGUGCAUGUUAGCCAUGGCUUCAAAUGAGGAAUAAUUGCUACAUUCAUAAUGGCAUCCAGACACAUUGGCCUAUUGUCAUAUAUUUAUUUUCAUGGCAUUUACUAAGAAUGACAUGUUUAUAUAUCAGCAUUCAUAAUUUUCUAUUGUUGAUCUCUUAGAUUUUUUGAUGAUGUACAGAUGAACUAUGUCGUGUCUCAUUUCUCAUAAACUCUUAAAAAGCUGAGAUUUAAAUGAUGUCGAAUAGUGCCUUUCAUUCAGUCUUUGAAAUAUGUUUAUUCUGAAUUGAAAGGCAUGGUAAUACAAUCAUAUAGUACCAAGUUGAUUUUAAAGCAAAUGUUUAGUCUGAGAUAAAGGAAACGCAGGAUCCAUUUGUGAGGUUGAAAGAAGAACCAAAUGCCACUUGAAAUCUAUAUUUUGGUUCCAGGGAGGUGCUAUUUUCAUAAACUUUUAGACUAUGUAACUAUAUGCACAGUUGAUCUGUGUGUGUGUGUGUGAGUGUGUGUGUGUGUGUGUGUGUGUGUAGUUUUUCAAGGACUCCAAUCAAUCCUGUACAAUUCAGGUUCUGUGUUUCUAUAGCUGAGGGGGGGGGGGUCAAAUUUGUGCUUCCAAAGCAUCCUGGAUUUUCUGUUGAACUUUCCAUUUAUUACUAUGUUAUUGAAAUACAAUGAAUUACCUCCUUCCAACUAAGCAAAUGAGAGAAACAGACUCUGCAUUAAGUGAGACUGUUUACGUUGCAUUGGGCAAUUUGUUCUAAUGCUCACUGCGGAGAGACAGAGCGGAAUGGGGAUUACUAACAUAGGAUCUGAAAAGGUGUCCAUUCUGUUACUCUUUGGGGGUCAAUCAUGAGCAUAUAUCUACUUAGGUUAAAAUUACACUUUCCCAUAGAUAGCAAAGACAAGAUUGCAGACAGCUAGGAAAGAAGCAACAGCUUCAUGAUUGGGGAAGAACUCAAAGUAUCAACAGGAAUGAAGCUUAAGGUGUAGUGGUUUUUUGCUGUGUUCCAGCUGAUGUGUGUAGUUGCUGAAAUGGGCUGUGACCUAUGGUUAUUCCUAAGACAAGGAGGGGGGCAGGUGCAGGAAUUUGGAAUCAAUGUAGCCCCCAGAUUCACUAAUACAGACUCACCUGAUUUCAGUGUAUGCUUCAACAUAGUGGCCUGGAUCAGAUGAUAUCUAUCAUCCCUUCCAACCAUGAGAGCUAUGAUCCUAUGAUUCUAGUCAUUGUAAAGCUAACAACUAAAACAAGAAUGACAUGCAGAACCACAGUGUUUAGAGAAGGCCAGACCAGGAAAUUGGAGAUGCAGAAGGGAGAAAGAGAAGAGAAAUAGGAAAACCAAAGAUGUUUUGAAACACAUGGAAGGAAAACUAUCCAGAUGUUUGCUUUGACUGGGAAUGGAAUCAGUUCAGAAAAUCAACUGAAAUGCGAAGUACCUUAAAAUUGUCUGUGGUUUGACUUGUAAACACUGAGUAAACAGUAAUAGAAUUCCUUAGAACCAGGGAAUUGGGAACCUUGGAGUGCAUUUUCAGUGUUGUCAUCUCAUUUCACUUUUUAGCUUAUUAAAUUCCAAUCUAUAAACCAUUCAGGUGCUUAAUUAUCAAAUGAAUAUUUCAAAUGUGCCACGCUAUUUCCCUCCAGCCUGCUGCCAAAUAUUCUAAUUUGUCUUUUGCCAUGAUUCCAUAACCGAAGGAGAGGAACCAAAGAAGCAUUUCUGUCUGCUCUUCCUCCACCAAAUGUUCGUGUUUUCAGAUGAGGUACACUAAGCCAUUCAGACAGAUGCAGUCUGCUAGCUAGUAGGGGAAAAGGGAGGACAAGGCCUCUCUCCUCAAGAUGCCCCAGGCCCUAAGAUGCCACCAACUAAUCUGGCCCAGUCAUUUUCUAGGUUUCCAGGGAAGAAUAUGACAAAGUUUUCAGUCUGCAGACAGAAUUGACGCUCCACUCUAGGCUGUAGUUGCAGCUAAUUAACUGCAGAUCCAGGCUAAACUGACGUUAGCCAUCAUUUCCAGAGCUUAGUAACUGAUAUAUCCAUAUUGUCAAGCUUUCUAAAACUCAUGAAGCUUUCCUCCUGUGGAUGGGCCCCUCAGACUCUGUCCAGUGAGACCACAAGACCCAUCCUGCCAACAAGGAAUGAGUCCUGAAUGAUUCAACCAUUGUCUCAUAAACAAACAUGUACAUCAUCCUCAACUGAGUGAGAACAGAUGAUUUUUUUUAAAUUAAAAGCUGGUGAGGUUAAGCAAUAAUUGCAGUCACUGGGUCAGGAAAAUUCUGCAAGUUCCCUAGGUUUAGUUCUCCUUUACCCAUUGAAGAGAUGGCUCUUGGAUGCCAGUGCAAUUACCACGGCUUUUUGCCUUAGGAGAGGCAAAGAAAAAAAUGAUGAUGAGAAAAAAGCAGGGAUCUUGGCAGGGUCCAAUCCCCUUUCACCUGUAGAGAACCUAAGACUCAGAGAGUAGAAAUAGCUGGCCUAAAUCUAGCUUGACAAAGGCAAAACCAGAAUCCAAGACUGUCUAUUGCUAUAGAAUAAAUUUUCUACAGCUCUCUGGAGAUCUUGCCAAUAAAUUUAGAAGAAUCAAAAGCAAAGUUUACCAAGAUCACAACCUUCUAAUUCCAUUUAAUGUGUAUAUUGAAUGUUUAUAUUACAUGUUAUUCCCAUACUUUGUUUUUCACUUUCUCACCCACCACCUUUCUUCAAUACACACACACACACACACACACACACACACACACACCCCUAUCCUGCUAGCCAAGAAAGCAUGACAUAUGCUGACAUAUGCCUACAACUAGCAUGUUCAGGUGGAGGUCAGAAUUAAACAUGACAAAAUUUUAGUGGCUCACAUUUAUGUAGCUAAUCUGGUUUAUACUACCAAUAACAAGACUCCUAGAAAUCCCAGUCUCCAAUGCUCCUUUGUAGUUUUGGGGAAUGGAAGCUGGUGGAAUACAAUGACUUUGGUUCUUGCUUUCUUUACUCAUUCUGAGAAUCAGCACCUUUAAUUGCAUGUGUGUGUGUGUGCACAUGCCUGUGUGUAUGUGUGUUUGUGUGCAUAUGUGCACAAACAUACACAUUUCUUGAAAGAUUAAAACAAAGGAAAUAGAAAAGAAAGACAGAUGAGUUUUAUGUCAGAAAUGAGAAGAUGAAAAGUUUCCAGAAUGGUCAUUAUCAUCUGCCUCUGUCCUUUACUCUUGCUUAGUUUCCACUAAUCCUACCACAAUUUCUUUUAGGGCCUGGGGAAAUAGGCCAAUGCAAAUAUGUCUACUAUAGUCCAAGGAGCUCUGGUGGCACAAUAGAUUAAUGUGCAGUGCUUAUGGAACAAAUGUAUCUUCCAGGAUAAUAUGAAGAACUUCCACACUAUAGGAAGGACAUCACUGAAUUAGAAGAGACUCUUCUAAGAGCUAUCUGUAAAUGCAGAAUUUCGGGCCCUUCUCCAGACCUACUGAAUCAGAAUCUGCUUUUAAUGAAGAUCUCCAAUGAUUCAUGUUCAUAGCAAAAUCUGAAAAGCAAUGGACUAGAGAUUAUUCAAAAAAAGCAUUUGAAAUUCAUUUGAAAAUAAACAAUGACCUACAAGGGAUGUAGGGACAAUUCAUGUGGUUUAUCAUAUAAAAAAUAAAAAUACAAACUUUUCCUAUGUCUGAUUUUCUUAUUAGCCAGUUUAAAGGCCUAAAGUGUAGGUAAGAGAGACAAAUUGAAGAGGAAUCAGAACAAAGGAUUGUUCUGUUUGCCAGAAAGACCAGGGUUUGGGAACUCACACAGACCUGAGUUCAAACUCUGGCUGGGCUGACAAAUUACUAGCUGUGUAAACAUGCACAAAGUACUUUGGUACUUUGCGUUUGAGCCUCAGAUUCCCCAUGAGUAAAAUAAGAUUAAUAAUAGUAUUCAUUAGCAUUGAGUUGCUAUGAAACAUAUAUGAGACACUAUAAGGCACUAGCAUAUAAUGAGCAAUCAAUAAAUAGAAAAUAUAAUUAUAAUUCAUGGUUUGGUCAAUAACUUUAGUUUUAUAGAAAACUAGCCACUGGAUGAGAUAUUUAAGGACACCUAGCAUCUAUUUCUAAUUGUUAUGAAUCACACUGGGUUUUUCACAGAGAGAGGAAAGAUGUACAAUAGUAAAAUAUAUUUGAACAUAGUGGAGACCCUCAAACAAAUAUCAUUUAGAAAGAAUUAUAAGUGCCUCUGAUAAAAUCCCUUCAUGGAACUAAACUGAAGUCAGAAGUGGCCCUAUUCUAUGAGGUAUGUAUCAAAAUUACCAAAUAAAUGCUGAGGAAACACACACACAUAUACAUAUAUCCACAUGCAAAUGAAACAAUUCAAGACUAAAAUAGUAUUCUAGGUUAGGAACUAAAUAUUACUGAUUUUCUGGCCUGACAACAAUCUGUAAAAUGGGUGAAUAGUAACUCCUACUUCAUAGGAUAGAUGUGAAAUGAUUUGGGUAAAAUAAAUCAUGUAGGUAACGGCACAGCAAUUAAACUCAAUAAAUAUUUUUCAAUAUGGCCCAAUGAUCCCUAAGUUAGAUCCACAGAAAGGGCAAAUACGUGUGUGUGUGUGUGUGUGUGUGUGUGUGUGUGUGAGAGUGUGUUUGUAGUUAAGCUCCAGUGAUUUUGUUUUUCUCCAGGAAGUAAUGAGUUCCUAUUAGAUAAGAAAUACUUUACCAUGUUAACACAUCAUAUAAAGGCCAGCUCAACAACAAUUCUUAAUACCUAGACUAUUUGGUUAUAUGCCAAACAUUUUGCAUGCAUUAUAGUAUUUAAGCUCUCACAACAACCCCAUGAAGUAAGUAUAUUAUUGCUCCUGCUCUACAGAUGAAAUGGCAGGUAAAGCUCAAAAGAAUGAAGGUGAAAAAAUUUAGCAACUCCUACCUUGUUCCAAACCAUAGUGCUUUCUACCUACUCAAUUUUCUAGUCUAAAAUAUGAUGGAGGUACAGUUUUUAUAAAUUCCAAUAACUCUAUAUGUUUAAUAUAUUGUAUAAAUUCUAAUAAAAUCACUCGGCACUUGCUUCUAUAAAAACUUAUUGAUUGGCAUAUGAAAUCUUGGCAACCUGACUGCAAAGACACAGAGACAGACAUCCAACCUCUGGGUCCCAGUCCUUUGGCAUGUUUGAGAACUCCAGCUUCUAUUGGAACUGAGGUUGCCUAACAUGCAUUGAUUUUCAAGAGGAUUAAGUUAGUGUGGCAUCAAUAUUCGUAGACAAUAUAGAUUGGUAAUUUCUAAUAUUUCUGUGAUCUUCCUAAAUAAACAAUAGCAAAUGCUGUUAAUUAUUGAACACCUUUGCAUUAGUUUUCUAUUGCUGUCAUAUUAAAUUGUCACAUACUUAUUAACCUAGUAUUGUCUAAGUAUAAAUUUAAAACAAUUAAAUAUGAGUUUAUUAUUGUUAUAGUUCUCUUGGUCAAAAGUGAGACAUAGUGAUCACUUGGCUAAAAUCAAGGUGUCAGCAGGAUUGCCUUCCCUUUUGGAAGUUCUAGGGAAGAAUCCAUUUCCUUCCUUAUUCAGGUUGUAGCAUAAUUCACUUCCUUGAAGUUGUAGGAUUGAAGUCCCCUUUGCUCUGCUGGAGUCAGCUGAAAGCUGUUAUUAGCUUUCAAAAAUCACCUACAUUCCUUAGUUCAUGGUUCCAUUCUUCCAACUUUGAAGACAGUGAGUACCAGUUGAAUGGUUCACACACUUUGCAUCUCUCUGACACUUCUGCCUUUGCAACUCUAUUAGUAUUCCUUUUCUUCUGUUUUUAAAAUUUUUAUUGAAACAUGGUAUUUGUACAUAUUUAUGAGAUAAAAAAUGUGAUGUUUUUAGUCAUGUAUACAUUGGAUAUUAAUCAACUCAGAGUGAUUAAUGUAACCAUCACCUUAAACGUUUGUCAUUUUCUUAUGGAGAGUAUAUUCAAAAUCCUCUCUUCUAUUUUGAAAUAUAUAAUGCAUUAUUGUUAACUAUAUACACCUGGUGUGUGUGUGUGUGUUUGUGUGUGUGCACAUGUGUAGGUGUGCACUUACAUUGGGCCCACCCAGAAAACCCAGGAUAAUAUCCCUAUUUAAAAUCAGCUAAUUAUCAACCUUAAUUCUAUCUGAAAAAUCUCUGUUGCCACAUAAUACAACAUAUUUACAAGUUAUGGGGAUUUUGACAUAUUUAAGAAACCAUAUCUACCUACUAUAAUCUAUGUAGUGGGUGCUACAAACCAUGACCUUUUUUUCCGCCAGUGCUGGGGAUCAUCGAACUUGGGGCCUCACUCUGCUAGGCAAGCACUCUACCUCUGAACUUGAUUCCCAGCACCAAAUACAUGAUCUUAAAUUAUCUCCAUUAUAGUCUAGAUGGUGUACAUUACUCGCAUUUAACAUUUGAAAUAGCAUCAGACAAAUUAAGCAGUAUGCCUAAUAAUGCACAGCUAGUAAAUCGCACAGGCAGAAUUGGAACAUAGUGCUUUCUUCCUCAAAAUCUUUUAUUUUCCCCCUUGGCCUACAUUAUACUGCCUUCUCAUUAUCAGAAAGCUCUUUGGUUGUAAUUUUUGUUUUGGCAAUACCAUGGCUUCACUUUCCAUGGUUUCAGUUACCCACAGUGAACCUGAGUAUGAAAAUAUUAAAUGGAAAAUUCCAGCAAUUCAUAAAUUUUAAAUUGUGCACCAUUCUGAGUAGCAUGAAGAAAUCAUGUGCAGUUUUCUCUGUCCUACCCAGGAUGUGAAUCAUCCCUUUGUCUAGCAUAGCUACAACAUAUGCACUCUCCACCUGUUCGUCACUUAGCAAUUGCGGUCAUCAGAUCAACUGUUCUGGCAUCACAGUGCUUGUGUUCAAGUCACCCUUAUAGCGUAACACUGCUUCAAAGUGCCUAUAUCAUUCACUUCACUUCAUCUCAUCAUAUAAGCAUUAUUCCAUCUCAUAUCACCACAAGAAGAAGGGUGAAACAGUACAAUAAAAUAUUUUCAGAAAGACCUAUUCACAUAACUUGUAUUACAAUAUAUUUUUAAUUGUUCUAUUUCCUUAUUAGAAAUUGUUGUUAAUCUCUUACUGUGCCUAAUUUACAAAAAAAAAAAAAUUAUCAUAGGUAUGUAUGUAUGUAUGGGUGAAAAAAUAGUAUAUAUAGGGUUUGGUACUAUCUAUGGUUUAAGGCAUCCAAUAGAUGUCUUGGAAUGUAUCCCCCCAUGGACAAGGGGAGACUGCUCCAUUUUAUUUUUUGUUUUCCUGAUUUAAGAUUUUAACAGGAAAUUUAUGUACACAGUUCAAAAGUCAAUUGGAUAAAAGGGUAUUUAAUUUUUAAAACUUGGUCUCAUGGUUUCCAUAUAUGUGGUUGCUACCACCCUUGUCCUAUUUGAUUUCUUUCUCUCUAGAACUUCUAAAUGAAAAUAUAAGCCACUAAGAAUAGGUAUAUAGAAAGAUAUUCAUAUCAUAACAAAUCUUCCCACACUACAGCUGAAAUCCAUGUUGUCCUUUUAUUACACUUUUACUACAGUGCAACUUUGGAAGAACUAACAUCUGCAUUAAGGGACAAUAUAUAUGGGCCAAUCAGUAACCCAAACAAUUGGUGACUUCACUUUUUAAAAUGUUUGUAGUCCCUUUGGCUCCAUGAUAUUCUCCUGAAUAUCCUCUACAUUAUAUAACCCCAAGGCCUUAGUAUUGUUAUGUAUCUCAUCAAUUUUAUCUGAACAUUCCAGAGCCAUGAAAUUCUAGAAUACAAGAGGGGGUGAAGGAGAGAGAGUGAGGAGGGGAAGAGAGAGAAGAGAGAAGAGAGAAGAAAGAUAAUAGAAAAAAUAAAAAUAAGUAGGGGGAAAGGAAGAGACAGAGACCCACAGUGCAUGGGGGUGAGAGUCUGAAAAUCAAUGAAAUACAGCUUUUGUUAUUAUUCCAUAUAGUGAUAAGAUGAUCAUAUUUUGAUAUAAAUAAGCCCAAUACCUUAUUUAUACAUAACUUUUUAAAACAAUGACAAAGCCUUCUAUCUAUCUUGUAAAAGAACAUGGAACCCUUACAUAAUUAUAAACACUGAAACAGAACUACCAUAUAGUUGGAUAGCAUCUUAUAUAGCAAUAGGCAUCCAAAUCAAAGAUGACAAGUUGGUUUAAACAAAGAAUUGAGUAAAGCUGAUAGUAAAACCAGUAUAGCAGAGUUAAUUAUUUUUUAUGCCUACUAUAGAUGUUAGUCUUUAGCUAUAAUUUAAGAACCUCUUUUUUUCAGUGUUUCAUAGAAUGCAAUAUACAUUUAUCUUCUAGUAAUACAAAACAUAACAUGAUUUAUCUUCUUUUGUGUUUCUAUCCCUUUAAGCAUUGUUCUUAAACUUAUUGAACUUAUUGGAAAUGAUUUGUUAAUGUACUGGGAAAUCAGUUUAGUAGUUCAUAAUAUAUAUUAUGAUUAUAUAUAUAUAUAUAUAUAUAUAUAUAUAUAUAUAUUUGGUACUAGGGAUUGAACUCAGAGGCACAACCACUAAGGUGCAUCCCCAACUCAUUUUUUAAAUUUAUUUAUUUUUAUUUUGAGACAGGAUCUUGCUAAGUUGCUUAGGGUGUGGCUAAGUUGCUGAGGCUGGCUUUGAACUUACAGUCUUUCUGCCAUGGUCUGACAUAACCAGUAUUUUUAAAUAAAACAGAUUAAAAGAGAAAAUGUGAGUCCCAUUUCUUGAUAUUUUUAUUUCAGUGAUGUUUGUGUCUAAGUGUGUGUGUGUACACAUACAUGUGCAUGUUUUCAUGUAUACUUGGCCCAAUGUAAAAUAUUUUUCUUGCUUGCUUUAUUGUGAAAAAGUUUGAUUACUAUUAGUUUCAAAGGUUAGAACCACUGGCCAGAUGCUAUAUAUAUUCCAAAAUCCUUAUAAAUACAAGGAUCUCUGCCCACACUUAACAUCUUGACUUUCCUGAAUGUAUUUUUUAUAAUUAUAAGGGAAUUCCAUGCUGCCCCUUGGCAUUGUAGUCUGUAUUUCUGAUGUAGUAGAAAUGCCUGGAAAGUUGCAAAUAUCCAAAGUAAAACUAAAAACUCUAAUAGAAUUUGAAAUGCUUUCUCUCUCAGAUGCAUAAACACUCAGGAGAUUUGUAGCAUCUCAGGAUUUGGACCUGAGUUUCCCAGUUGUCACUUCCAUUGACAUCUCACGUAUACAGUGCUCUGGGGACCCCAGCCAGUGCUGAACAUGGCCUGAGAGUCUACAACUUGCAUAAAAUAUUUAACCUCAAGAACCAGAUCUUUAUGCUUUAACAACAGUAGUCAUCUCCAGAAACUUUUCCUAGAUUAGUGGCAUUUAGUCUAAUGAUAAAAACCAAGCAAUGAAUAAAGAUUGACAAGAAGAUAAAAAUGUAGGUUUAGGGAUAAACCUAGGAAAAGGAUGAUGAAACAGUAAUGACUAGGUAAAAAUUACUUCAGGAUAUUGUUGUUGCAAAGAGAAGGUUUUUUCAUUUGUUGUUGGACAAUUAUACCAGGGAAGAUAAAAAUGAUAAGUCUAGUAGAGAGAGAAAAACAGAGGAGAAUGUUAAGGAAUAAUUAAACCAUUCAAUCCUCCAACUGGUAAUUGAGUCCCUGUUAUCAAUCACUUGACAAAUACUCACUUAGUGCAGACUAGGUGGAAGGUGCUGUGGGGCACUGCAUGACCCUCUAGGAACUUAAAUAUUGUCAGAAGUGAGUGAGAUGACAGGAGCAAAGAUGAAGAGAAAUCCUGGUGUGGCUGAGUAAGGUACUGUGAUUGAAGCCAUUCAUGGAAAUCUACAGAGGAAUAUUUCUAGGAUAGAUUAUGGAAAGCUUUAUAUCACAGACUGUGGCUGCAUUUAAUUUAGUGAACAAAAAGGAGAUACAAAAGGAUUUUGAAAUGAGAAAUGAAAUAAUGAUAGCAAUGUUUGGAGAUGAAUAUUCAGAAAAUGGUGUGUAGGAAGGAUCGAUAAAGGCAUACUGAUUAAGAAACAAUUAUAGAAGUCUAGGCAUGAGAAGUAGCACUAUAGUUAAGUAGAGAAUCUGGGUUCAUAACAUCAUCAAAAUGGCGAUAUUACCAAAAGUUCUCUAUAGGUUUAAUGCAAUGCCAAUCAAAAUCCCAACGGCAUUUCUUAUAGAAAUAGAUAAAGCAAUCAUGAAAUUCAUAUGGAAAAAUAAAAGACCCAGAAUAGCAAAAGCAAUUCUAAGCAGGAAGUGUGAAUCAGGCGGUAUAGCGAUACCAGAUUUCAAACUAUAUUACAGAGCAAUAGUAACAAAAACAGCAUGGUACUGAUACCAAAACAGGCGGGUGGACCAAUGGUACAGAAUAGAAGACACAGAGACUAAUCCACAAAGUUACAACUAUCUUAUAUUUGCUAAAGGGGCUAAAAGCAUGCAAUGGAGGAAGGACAGCAUCUUCAACAAAUGGUGUUGGGAAAACUGGAAAUCCAUAUGCAACAAAAUGAAACUGAAUCCCCUCCUCUCGACAUGCACAAAAGUUAACUCAAAAUGGAUCAAGGAGCUUGAUAUC
rnacentral:lncRNA from 1 species